AGGUCUCCAGAUGGGGAAUUCCAAGAACAUAGUGCAGGAUCAUUCAGUUCUUUGGUCUCAACCCAUAGUCUGUUUGAAGCCUGUGAUGAGCAGCAUACAGUAGUGGAAUUUCAUGCCUAAGUGAUUUGUGGAGAAAAUAAUAUACAUUGGGACGCCAACUUCAAACAACUAGGAAGGAGCAAAAGAGAUGGAUAAGCUCUGCCUUCUAUCAACAGAAUGGUUCCAGUUUGGCUAACUGAAUAUCAUUACCUACAGAAUGUCUGCCAUGGUGAAUCCAAGAUCUUCUCUUCUUUCUCCACAAGGAUUCUAGUAACUACAGUAAGUUUCAACAGAUCCAAAUUAUGCCAGAUAAGUGUCCCUUUGUCUAUA